UUGCACGCUGGCGGCAGGCCUAACACAUGCCCGUCGCGCGGAUGAAGGGAGCUUGCUCCUGGAUUCAGCGGCGGACGGGUGAGUAAUGCCUAGGAAUCUGCCUGGUAGUGGGGGAUAACGUCCGGAAACGGGCGCUAAUACCGCAUACGUCCUGAGGGAGAAAGUGGGGGAUCUUCGGACCUCACGCUAUCAGAUGAGCCUAGGUCGGAUUAGCUAGUUGGUGGGGUAAAGGCCUACCAAGGCGACGAUCCGUAACUGGUCUGAGAGGAUGAUCAGUCACACUGGAACUGAGACACGGUCCAGACUCCUACGGGAGGCAGCAGUGGGGAAUAUUGGACAAUGGGCGAAAGCCUGAUCCAGCCAUGCCGCGUGUGAAGAAGGUCUUCGGAUUGUAAAGCACUUUAAGUUGGGAGGAAGGGCAGUAAGUUAAUACCUUGCUGUUUUGACGUUACCAACAGAAUAAGCACCGGCUAACUUCGUG
rnacentral:rRNA from 1 species